rnacentral:rRNA from 1 species
UACGGGGGGGGCAAGCGUUGUUCGGAAUUACUGGGCGUAAAGGGCUCGUAGGCGGCCAACUAAGUCAGACGUGAAAUCCCUCGGCUUAACCGGGGAACUGCGUCUGAUACUGGAUGGCUUGAGUUUGGGAGAGGGAUGCGGAAUUCCAGGUGUAGCGGUGAAAUGCGUAGAUAUCUGGAGGAACACCGGUGGCGAAGGCGACAUCCUGGACCAACACUGACGCUCAGGCACGAAAGCGUGGGGAGCAAACAGG